rnacentral:rRNA from 1 species
UAUGUUGCCAGCACGUAAAGGUGGGAACUCAUAGUAGACUGCCGCGGACAACGCGGAGGAAGGCGGGGAUGACGUCAAGUCAUCAUGCCCCUUACGUCUUGGGCUACACACGUACUACAAUGGGAUGAACAGAGGGAAGCGAAGUCGCGAGGCAGAGCGGAACCCUAAAAGCAUCUCUCAGUUCGGAUUGCAGGCUGAAACUCGCCUGCAUGAAGUCGGAAUCGCUAGUAAUCGCAGGUCAGCAUACUGCGGUGAAUACGUUCCCGGGCCUUGUACACACCGCCCGUCACACCACGAAAGUCAUUCACACCCGAAGCCGGCUAAGGGCCGAAAGGAACCGACCGUCGAAGGUGGGGGCGAUGAUUGGGGUGAAGUCGUAACAAGGUAACCUCAGUCAGUC